rnacentral:misc_RNA from 1 species
ACAGAAAUGCAAGAACAAAGGAGGACACUUUUAUUGCAUCUUCUUUUUACAUUAGUCAGCCUGGUCACAUGGACAAAGACAAGGUUCCUUCUAGCCAGAUUUAUGACUUGCCUGGAACUCUGCAUUCUCCUCAGACAAUUCGGCCAUCUUAUUCAGCAAUGUCAUUCUCUCUUUCAAGGUUUAGCGCUGAAAGCAGUGGCACUGAAUAUCUUGAUAGUGGACUUUCACCGCAUGUCACUGGGGCUGAAGUUGGGGCUGAAGUUUCAUGUCAUUUACCAGACAUUGAGGGUGCACAUUCAGACAUAAAAGAAAAUGGAAUGACAAGGUACAAAGUGAAGCAGAAGACUCGAGUGUAAGUAUUAGCUUUAAAUCUUAUGUCGGGUUUUGAAAAUCCUAAUCUUGAAAUGUAUUUCUAUGGUCUUUGUCAAAAUGAUUGUUUCUUGAUGUUAAAGAGCCACUCAACCUAAAAGCCUAAGUUUGUAGAUAUGGGCUGGAGAAUAAUAUUUAUGCUUAACAUGUCUUCUCAAGCAAAGUCCUUUGCAGUUGAAUGCAUGGACUAGCAUAUGCCUGACAUUUACCUUUUGCUGAGAUUGAAUUAUAAUAAAUGAGGUUGCCUAGGAUUUAUUACUAGACCUUAAUGGGGAACAUGCUCUGAUACCAGAGUAAAGAAAACCUAAAAGUUCAAACUGAAACUUGUGACAAGGGCCAAAAGAAUUCAUCUUUUAUGCUUAACACUUGGUUUAUUAAUAGCUGUCUUCUCCAAUCAGACAUCAUUUAAUUUUUCAGCAACUCUAUUAUGUAUUUUGAUAUUAUGCUCAGGAGUCCCACACUCCGGAGUCUGGAGCUGGACUUGCAGCUCUUGUGCCAAAUUAUGGCCAAACAGAGUUAUGUAUGGCACAUAAGUACCCCCAAACUCCAGGAUUAUUUGAAACAACUAUGACCUUUUGACUCUUUCUAGAACAUUUACACCUUCCUCAAUUGCAAACUGGCAACAAUACAACUGCCCAAAUUUUUCCCUUUUGUGUGUGCUCUAUGCAGGUUCAUCUUUUAGGCUUGGUCACUCAGAAUCUCUACCUCCUUCUGUAGAAAGUUAAAAUAUAUGUUAUGCGUUGAAUUUGUACAUUUUUGCAUGAAUUUUCAAGAUGAAACUAUGAGUGAACUGCAACUAUGUGAAACGAAGAGAGAGAUCAUAAUACAUUAUCAUAUACCCUUAAACUAGAAACAAGAUCAGAAACACUUUUAUAGAUGUUUCAGUAAUUACAGAGAGGCAAUGCUUCUCAAGGAAGAAUUUAGGGGCGGCAUGAGAAGAUGGGCAGGCAGUCCUAGUGGUCUUAGAUAGUAGCAUGGCAGCUGAAGAACAAAUGUAGAAAAUUUUCUUGGUAUUUGUUUUUCCGUUACGUCCAUAGGUUUUGUGGAGGGAGGAAUUAUGUCCACACUAAGAGAAAUCUUUUUGUUUCUUUAGUCUAGGUGUCAUUUUCUUUAAAUCUAGUGCAUAAGGAUGGUGCAUUAUUUCGGCAUUUUUUAUAUUAUUGCUUACCAUAAAAGUAAACUCCCUUGAAAAAUCUGGUCCAUGGAUUAUAAUGUUUGCUGCCUUCUGUAAGCAAUUAUUAAAAAUACAAGAAAACCUUUUAGACAAGGUUCACUUAUUUGCUGAUGUAACAUAAAAUUUAGGUCCAAAAUAAGUACUCAAUAAGGUAAUUGUUGCAUUAGGUUGUUUGCAUGCUCACAGAAUGUGCAGUAAUUGUGUUCUAAAAUCUAAACCUUUUAGUUUUGUUGAAACAAAGA